rnacentral:rRNA from 1 species
AACGAACGCUGGCGGCAUGCCUAACACAUGCAAGUCGAACGAGACCUUCGGGUCUAGUGGCGCACGGGUGCGUAACGCGUGGGAACCUGCCCUUAGGUUCGGAAUAACUCCCCGAAAGGGGUGCUAAUACCGGAUAAUGUCUUCGGACCAAAGAUUUAUCGCCUUUGGAUGGGCCCGCGUUGGAUUAGCUAGUUGGUAGGGUAAAAGCCUACCAAGGCGACGAUCCAUAGCUGGUAUGAGAGGAUGAUCAGCCACACUGGGACUGAGACACGGCCCAGACUACUACGGGAGGCAGCAGUGGGGAAUAUUGGAAAAUGGGCGAAAGCCUGAUACAGCAAUGACGCGUGAGUGAUGAAGGCCUUAGGGUUGUAAAGCUCUUUUAACCGGGAUGAUAAUGACAGUACCGGGAGAAUAAGCACCGGCUAACUCCGUG